UACGUAGGGGGCAAGCGUUGUCCGGAUUUAUUGGGCGUAAAGAGCGUGUAGGCGGCCAGAUAGGUCUGCUGUGAAAACUCGAGGCUUAACCUCGAGAUGUCGGCGGAAACCAUCUGGCUAGAGUCCGGAAGAGGAGAGUGGAAUUCCUGGUGUAGCGGUGAAAUGCGCAGAUAUCAGGAGGAACACCGGUGGCGAAGGCGGGUCUCUGGGCAGUAACUGACGCUGAGGAGCGAAAGCGUGGGGAGCGAACAGG
rnacentral:rRNA from 1 species